UUCGGCCAUAUCACGUCGAACCACCGGUACCCAUACGAUCAUUGAAGUUAAGCAACGUUGAACCUGGGCAGUAUUUAGAUGGCUGACCACUUGCAAAUACAAGAUGCUGUA